UACGUAGGGGGGCUAGCGUUGUCCGGAAUCAUUGGGCGUAAAGAGCGUGUAGGCGGCCCGGUAAGUCCGCUGUGAAAGUCCAGGGCUCAACCCUGGGAUGCCGGUGGAUACUGUCGGGCUCGAGUCCGGAAGAGGAGUGUGGAAUUCCUGGUGUAGCGGUGAAAUGCGCAGAUAUCAGGAGGAACACCAAUGGCGAAGGCAGCACUCUGGGACGUGACUGACGCUGAGACGCGAAAGCGUGGGGAGCGAACAGG
rnacentral:rRNA from 1 species